CUUUGUCUCGUUAACAAAAUGGAUUUGCCUACAAAUGGUAUAACCUCAACACCUUAACUGAAGAACCACAAGUUGCAAAAAAAUCUUCAAUCGCUGUCAGUUUCACCAUCACCAUCACUUUACGCAUCAAUUUAUGUGGUGCUUCAGAAAAGGGGUUAGACCAAAUUUCCUAUUUGCUUUGAAGGUUGGAGUAGUUGUGGAGAACAUCAAGUCUGCUAUCACAAAGGGAGUAGUAGAAGCAGCCGACAUGUUCGUUCCCAAGUCACUGCCUCCAGUUUCCUUUAUCUGCAUCAUCUCUCUUGCCAAAUAAUCCGACCCAUUUGUUUCAACUGAGGAAACCACCGCACACUAACAUCGUUACGUCUCUCAACAAUAUAAAUACUGUAGUUGAAGAACAAAUUUAUCAUGCUUUCCUGAUGACGACGUAUGCUGUUUGAUUCCCCUUUACUGAUUUGAGGCUGAGAGCGACUGAUGUUGAAAACCAGAUGUUCAUUGAUCAAGGGUUUUGUUUAUGGGAUUUUCAAAUUGAAAUCCAAAGUUCAGCCGUUUGAUCAUAUCUUCUCUGCAAUGCUGCAACUGAUUUUUCCCACAUCCAAGGUUAUUGUUGCAGUCUCCACACAAUCCUCUCUCAGUCAUCGCAAGCUUCCAAUCGGUUCUAACGCCUUUCCUCUACCAACUUUGUCCUAUUUUGUGUACUUCAAACAUUUGAGUAUGCUCUGGACAAGUUUUGAACUGUUUCAAGUUUGCAAAUAAGCAUGAUGAUGUAUGGUGGAGAUUGCAUAGGUGAGCUGAUUAAUGUAGAUCUUGAAUAUUCUUGCUUGGAUUUUAGAUCCUAGCAGACAAAUGAAAUCAAAGGUUAGCAUUUUUGAUUAAUAAAAAAGCGUAAAAUGCAACAAAUAGCAACUUAGUUUCACUAAUUGUUUAUUAUAGCAUCCUACUUCCAUAUCUAUAAUUGGUUAGAAUUUUCAUAGCAUACCGCCUAAUAAAGAAAAAAGGCUGAAAGCAUAACGGUGUAAAAAAUGGGAUGCUUACAAAUAAAUGAAAGUAUGUUGCUAUUUCAAUCAUGUGUUAACCUUUUCAUUUACUACUUAAUUUCUUGAACGUACUUUGCUUAUUCGGUUACAAACUGUUUUAUGAUGCACCGGUUAAUGGAUGUAAGAAAGGAUAGAAUGAAACAACGAUGCCAACCAAUUCCAUUAUUUGGAUUACUUAUUUGAUAACAGUUCACUAGGACCAAUGAACUGGAUGCUGAUUACAAAUAUCUGUUCUUUCACCUUUAAAAUCCACAAAAAAUUUUCAUUUGUAUGUAAGGGUUUAAUGUUGAGAUGUAGAACAGACAUUGAACAGGAUUAGAGAAGAAAUUAUGAAGGCAGCAGAUGAGUACAAUGGAUUCUACCAACUCCACCCGCUUUUUCUACUUUGUUUCCGAAAUUGGAACAUGUUCUUCUUAUUAGCUUCGCUCACCACAUGUUCGAUAAAAUGCCUUUGAGGCAUUCACAACAAUUGUAACCAAGAAAAGAUCUCUCAAUGUGAUUCCCUCAAGAUUGUUAAUUGUGGAUUGUUGAAUAACACCUUCUUUCACUUUUGAGAUUAGGUCAACGAAAUUAGAAUUCCGCUAUUAUGGGUAAAACAGUAAGAACAUUGUUAUUUUCAACAAUUUUCCCUUCAACUAAUAUGAUUACAUGUUCCAUUUUAGAGGA